UUAAAUUGCUGGGUCCCUGGGAAGAGGCUUAGGGCUCCAUCCCAUUGGGCCGUGGCCUGGAGCGUAGACAACAGCCCAGACAGGCUGGAGGGGAAGGGGGUUCUCAAGGAGAAGAGCUAUUGUCUAACCACCCAGAGCACAGCCUUGUGUACAUAAGGACCACACUUAAGCAGUGUGGAAACAGGUUGGAGGCAUCUAGGCCUGAUGAGUCCUUGGCAGCCUCUUAGAAUCCUUAUACCCUAGUAUGGGGUUCGGAAAGAGCCAAGAAUUCUUGUACUCCCCAAAAAGAGUCUGGCGGUGUUCAUGAGGGCUGGUGACCUGGAAAAGGCAUUCUGAUUGGGAUGACAAGGAUGCAGAGUCUAGAGCUGACAGCAGGGUGUGAUUGCUGAAACACAAGAAAGAGAGAAGAACUUUGCCCCCUUCUCCCAGUGCCAGCAGCCCAGAGGUAGCAGGAUCCUGAUGAAGAUGGGUAAUGUGCCAACAUCAUAACAAGGUUCAAGGGAGGCACAUCUCAUACGAGUGUGAAAAGGCAAACAUCAUGCUUGUGAACUACAAGAUUAUCCUAUGUAUUUAUUUUCAAUUAUUUUAUCCUCCUCUGCCUCUUGCCCUGGACUAUAUAAGACCUGCAAUAUAAUGUUGAAUAAGGAAGGUGAAACCAAACAUCAUUGCAUCACUCCUGAUAUCAAAGGUGACAAAACUGAGGCUCAGAGGCCAAUGGCCUUGUUCAAGGUCACACGCCCACUAAAUGAGAGACCCGGAGACCUGGCAUCACACGCAUCCCUUGAAUGUUUAUGAAACACCUAUCAUAUGCCAGACCUUGUGCCAAGUGCUCAGGAUGCAAGAGAUAAAGAUUUGAGAAAUGCAUUGUGUGACUAAGGUGACAAAGAAACAACAGCAAUUCACUGGGCUAAGUGGUUUGUACAACAACCAGGAGAGAGCAGAUUAAUUCUGUCUAGGAGCUCAGGAUGGCACUUGAACCAGACCUUGAAAAAUGUGCACAGGAUUUCGCCAUCAGAGAAACAAGGUGAGGACAUGUUAAGCAGAGAGGACUUUGAACCAAAGCUCUGAAGCACAGAGGUCUAUGAUCUAUCAGUGGCAGUAGGUGAGGCUAGAGAAAGCUGGGACCAGAUUGGAAGAGGCCAGGCAGACUACCUGAAGGGGCUGGAUCUUACAUGAGAACAUUGGGAAGCCCCUAAAAUUCUGUAAGCAGGGAGGUGACAUGGCUAGAUGUGCUUUUCAGAAAGGCUUCCUGGGGCAUGAAGAAUGGACUGGACUGGAGGGGGAGGAAGGAGUGGGGUAACAAUAGAGGGGAAUAAUUCAGAAGACAGAAGAGGCCCAAAUUAGGCAACUGGCUCAGGGAAGAAAAGGUUUGGACUUGGUGAAAUGGAGCUGUGUGAAAAAAAGGAGUAGGAGCUGACUUGGGUGUCUGGUUCAGGAAAGAAGGAGGGUGGUGAUGUCAUUAACCUGGAGAAGGAACAAACUCAGCACAAAUGAUUCCCAGCUGUGCCUACUCUCAAACACAGAAAAGCCAGAAAUAGGCUUGGCCCUGUGACCAGCAAGAGGGUCCCCUAUGAUCAGAUGAGAUUAAGGGACUAAUAUCCUCAACUGACUUUAAGGUUGAAAGAAAAAAGGACCUCCCUUAAGUCCCUAUGUGUUUUGGAGGACCCUAAGAAAAAUGGGGGUGAAUAAUUGUUUAGGAAAAUAUAAACAUAAAGACUGUAUUAUUUUAUAACUACCUUACAACUAUAACUACAUUGCAUAAUAUAAAGUGGUAAAAUUAUAAAUGUUCUAGUGUUUAAAAAUUAAUG